GAUUAGUCACGCGGGCAGUGGAGCUGCUUAAUCUGAAUAUAACUUUCUUUUCAAGCAAUCACCCUUGAAAUUGGGUGGAAAUCCCCACACCUCUCUCAAUUUGGCAGCUGCAGGGGUUCUGCACUAGGUACUCGGGACACAUCAGUGAAUAAAAUAGACAGAAGUCCUUGCUCUCAUGGAGCCAGCAUUCUAUUGGGGAAUCUCGCAGGAAACAAUACGAUGGUCAAAAUUGCCAUGUGAAAGCAUCCAGUGAGGCUAAACUUCAAGUAUGUGAGCCUCGCAUGUUACGAAGUAUUUUUUUGAAAGCAGUCAAUGAAGUGGACUACUGAAUGAAGUUACUGACACAUUAAAGAAGAAAUUUUCUAAAAAGACGGUGUGAUUCCAAAAGCUAGUCUGGAUCAAGAAAAAAAAAAAAAAAAAAAAAAAGGUGAAGGAACGGAGGCUCUGGAUCUCGAAGCCUCGGCAAGCCGGCCAGGAGAACUCAGGUUUAAACCCUUCCUGCAAACAAACCAUCUGGGACAUGAUGUAACUUUCACUUGGCAAGUGGUGGUGGUGUGCUGCUAUUUUGUUUUCUGAGGUUCCAAGGGGCUGGGGCACACCCCGGCCUUCCGCUGGCAGUUCUUGCUUGGUUUUUCUUGAGGAACGGGUCUCAGGUUUCCCGCUUCUUGCAGAAGCGCACUGGAAGGCAGGGAAACGCCUUGACUCACAGCCUCAAAUGCCAGAUAGUCCACAACUGUCCUCUCUUGGGAAAUCAGAUUCCUCUUCCUCUGAAAGCUCUGGACUGUUUUAUAAAGAUGAAGCCCUGGAGAAAGACUUAAACGAUAUGGGCAAAGAAAUUAAUCUCAUG